GCAUUGGUGGUUGAGUGGCAGAAUUCUCCCCUUCCAUGUGCGAGACGUGGGUUGGAUUCCCAGCCAGUGCA
rfam:Loxodonta africana unplaced genomic scaffold scaffold_73, whole genome shotgun sequence.